CUCACGUGUCUAUGAGGUCACGUUUACGGGCCUCCUCAGCCUUGUCGUCCCUGGGAAUUCGGUGGUGAGAGGAAACGGCUUUUGAAAUGAAUGUUCAUCACAGCAGUCGUCUGACGCCUCGCUCUCUCCGCUCUUUGAAUGUCCCAACAUGGAGUGGAAACUCCUGUUAAUCUCCAAAGGGAAAAGAAUUCAGGGCAACCGGACCCAAAGGGAAAAUAUCAACAGUUAUUGUUUAGGGCUAAUUUAACAGAUAAUUUAACUUCAAAAAACAAUGAUCAGGUCACUAUUCCAGAGCAGUGAAAAAAUGAAGAACUGAAGACAACUCUCCCUAACCAACCCCACUACAGUGUUUAGUCUUCCUGAUCAACGGAAUCAACAAUGAAUGUUUUUGCAUUUUACACCCGCAUUCUUAUUUAAAGAAUGAGACAAGAAAAGAGGGAAUAAAACUGAAGACCUCGACCUGAUUCUGAAAGCGCUACCUGGGCAGACAAAUUAAACUCAGGCAAAAAUGAAUAUCCAAACAUGUCCGGCAACUUUUCACUUGGACAGGAAUCUCCAAAUCUCAGCAAUAUGCAAUGUGCUUUCCUCCCGUGAAGCUCUUCGGAAAGGCCAAAGACCAUGAAAGAGGAUUACACAUGUCAGGCACCGGACCGCGAAAAGGACUUGGGACAUUUUUAUCUCCCCUCUCACUCCCACAAAAAUAAUUUUGAGGGUUAUUUGUUAUUAUUUAGAAAACCCUUUAUGAUUACAAUUUCAAAAUUUC